CCUGCUCAAGUGCCUUCAUCAACCAGCUUGGCUACUUUCAUUCGCGACCACCUUCACCUCAAGGGAACAAAAAUCAGUUGCAGUCAAGGCGGCUGUGGUGCGUGUGUGGUCAAGGCUAUUUUUGAGGACCCUGCCACUGGUCAACCGAAAACUCGAAGUGUCAACUCUUGUAUCACACCGGUAUUCAAAUGUGAAGGAUGGAAUAUUACUACGGUUGAGGGUCUCGGGAACACACACGUUGGUUUGAGCAAUGUUCAAAGCAGAAUGGCAGUCCUGAACGGAACGCAAUGUGGCUAUUGUACACCUGGAAUGGUCAUGGCUAUUGACAGCUUUUUAAGCAACCAUGAUGAAUUCACCAUUGAGGAUGUGAAGGACUCUCUAGACGGGAACAUAUGUCGAUGCACCGGCUACAGACCCAUUUUCGAUGCCAUCCACUCUUUUGCCUCGGAUGCUCCGAAGCAUCUUCGUCAGGAGGUACAGGAUAUAGAGGACCUAGUGCAGACCACCAAAGGCUACGUUUGCCCCUCCACGAAAAAGG